GCCGCCUCUCCCGCGCCUCCCUACUGUGAGGGGGCGGCGCUGCACGCGCCUCCCGGGAUCCCGGGUCCCUUCGCCCGGGAAGCUGUCCAUGCCGCAUGAUAGAUACUCAGAACCACUCCGGCCGACCCCAGCCUCCGCACAGUAGUCAGCCACAGUUCAGUGGGGGCAUUUUUCUUUUGUUAAGAGGCCUAAUGAGCCAGCGGAUGUUCGGGCUCAUUGCGAAAUGAAGAACCUAGAGGGGGAUUUUAUUUUUCUUAAUUAAACAACAACAACAAAAACCUCUCUGAGCACUACACUAAGCAACAAAUAGGCCCUAGUGGAUUAUAAAUAAGAAGAAAAGGAACAAAAACCUCAAAGUAUAUUGAUCAGAGUGCUGAAUAGUACUUUCAUUCUUCAAGUUUUCUGGUGUUUAAAAGCCAUAUCAAGGUGUUGCUUCCUUCUUCCCUCCUGCUGCCCACCCACUCUUCGACAGUUAUACCAGAG